AACGAACGCUGGCGGCAGGCUUAACACAUGCAAGUCGAACGGGUGCAGCAAUGCAUCAGUGGCAGACGGGUGAGUAACACGUGGGAACCUUCCUAGGGGUACGGAACAACUCAGGGAAACUUGAGCUAAUACCGUAUACGUCCGUGAGGAGAAAGAUUUAUCGCCCUUAGACGGGCCCGCGUCGGAUUAGCUAGUUGGUGGGGUAACGGCCUACCAAGGCGACGAUCCGUAGCUGAUCUUAGAGGAUGAUCAGCCACACUGGGACUGAGACACGGCCCAGACUCCUACGGGAGGCAGCAGGGGGGAAUCUUGGACAAUGGGCGCAAGCCUGAUCCAGCCAUGCCGCGUGAGUGAAGAAGGUCUUCGGAUUGUAAAGCUCUUUUGCCAGGGACGAUAAUGACGGUACCUGGAGAAUAAGCCCCGGCAAACUUCGUGCCAGCCGCCGCUGUAACAC
rnacentral:rRNA from 1 species